GUGCUCGCUUCGGCAGCACAUAUACUAAAAUUGGAACGAUACAGAGAAGAUUAGCGUGGCCCCUGUGCAAGGAUGACAGAAACAGAGCAGAGGCCUGUGCCU
ensembl:snRNA U6 U6 spliceosomal RNA